UACGAAGGGGGCUAGCGUUGCUCGGAAUCACUGGGCGUAAAGCGCACGUAGGCGGAUUGUUAAGUCGGGGGUGAAAUCCUGGAGCUCAACUCCAGAACUGCCUUCGAUACUGACGAUCGUCGAGUCCGGGAGAGGUGAGUGGAACUCCGAGUGUAGAGGUGAAAUUCGUAGAUAUUCGGAAGAACACCAGUGGCGAAGGCGGCUCACUGGCCCGGUACUGACGCUGAGGUGCGAAAGCGUGGGGAGCAAACAGG
rnacentral:rRNA from 1 species